UUAAGAUCAUUGCCCUACAAGACCAUUAUCCAAUUCAUGGUUUGUCUUUGCAAAGAUACUGAUAUGCCAUACAAUUAUUUUUACUAUUUAUGGGACUGUCCUACAAAAAGUUUGGUUUGUAUGGAACUUAGAAAGCUAGAUUGAGUUGCUUGUUGUCAGUCUGUGAGGUGUUGGUGAGUCACAAUGCUUAUGUUUAUGUUUAACAUAGUUGGACUAGUUUCCUAUUAAUUUGCUAAGUUUCAUGCCAUUUUCACACAAUUGAAUUGUUCUUUAUCCUCAUUUCUUUCUCAAACUAGACUGACAUUAGUUCAUAUUUGUGUUUUUGGUGAAAACUCUUGUGUAAUUACACUGGGUAUGUUGUUAUUGCUUUGGUGAAAAUUGUAUAGGGCAUCUAUUGACGAGUGUAAUAGUGGUCUUGCUAUAAUUUUUUAAAAAAGUACGUAAUAUUUUUGUGUUUUCUUUUGGCAACACUUGCUCCAUAGGUUGUUGAGUGUAGAGUUUGUGGUGAUCCCCACUCUCGCCUUUGCUUUGCCUUUGUGGAGUUCGCCAAUGAAUACUUAGCAAGAGGUUCACUUAGCCUUUGUGGUUCAAUAUUAGGGUUCUCUCCUCUGGAGGUCCUACCAUAAAAAACUGCUAUUUUGCUCGUGAAUCCUACAUUCCUUCCUAGGAAGUAAGGUCAUGGAACUAAAUGCUUAGUUUUCCAUUAUGUGUACAUGCUAUAUGCAAUCUGAGGAUGAGCGUGAGAUGUGUACCAGGACAUACCAGUGGUUGUUGGAUCUAACCUUGUUUCACCUGUUGAUGCAAGUAGCGCACAAGCUAUAAGAGGCCAAAAU